GAUGAAGAACGUAGCGAAAUGCGAUAAGUAAUGUGAAUUGCAGAAUUCAGUGAAUCAUCGAAUCUUUGAACGCACAUUGCGCCCGCCAGUAUUCUGGCGGGCAUGCCUGUUCGAGCGUCAUUGCUGCCCUCAAGCACGGCUUGUGUGUUGGGCCCCGUCCCCUCCCCCGGGGACGGGCCCGAAAGGCAGCGGCGGCACCGCGUCCGAUCCUCGAGCGUAUGGGGCUUUGUCACCCGCUCUGUAGGCCCGGCCGGCGCCAGCCGACACCCAACUUUUAUUUCUAAGGUUGACCUCGGAUCAGGUAGGGAUACCCGCUGAACUUAAGCAUAUCAAUAAGCGGAGGA
rnacentral:misc_RNA from 1 species